CACCCCCCCCCCCCCCCCCCCCUCCCUUGCACAAAACCAAAAUUCCUUCUUAUAAUGGCAGAAACUGCAGCUUCUUCCCCUCUACCCAUCCCUUCUCCGAAUCCGAUGGACCCAUCACCACCACCACCUCCUUCUCAGCCGCAACCACAAUCACAACCACAGCCCACGACGUUAACAAAUUCGAACUCCAACACCUUAGCUCUAACACCACCACAACCACAAGCACAAACACCAACAUCCAGCAUGUCGAAUUUACCUCAAAAUCCAAAAAUUGCAUCUCCAUCUGUUGAUCCACAAAUCUCAUCGCCUUCUCUUUCCUCUCAACAACAACAGCAACCUGUUGUGCAGCUGCAGCAGCAAUUGCAGCAACAGAAUGUCACAGCCACGUCCAACUAUCAAAUUCCACAAUCUCUUCAAAGAUCUCCUUCUAUUUCUCGUUUAAGCCAAAUUAACCAACAGCAACAGCAGCAGAAUCAAUACAGUGGUGUCUUGAGGCAGCAGCAGCAACAGGGACUAUAUGGGCAAGUGAAUUUUGGUGGGUCGGGUUCAAUUCAACAGAAUUUACAGCAGAAUUCGCAGAAUCAACAGAUGGGUGGUGCCAACUUUUCGCGGUCUACACUUCUUGGCCAGAGCGGGCAUCUGCCUAUGCUGAAUGGAGCAGGGGCAGUGGCAGCAGCAGCAGCUGCAGCUCAGUUGAAUUUGUUGGCCUCGCAGAAAGCUGGUUUAGUCCAAGGGUCUCAAUUCCAUCCUGGUAAUUCUCCGGGGCAGCCUUUGCAGGGAAUGCAAGCAAUGGGAAUGAUGGGGUCACUCAAUUUGAGCUCACAACUAAGGCCUAAUGGUGCUCUAAGUUAUGCUCAGCAACGGAUAAAUGCUGGACAAAUGAGACAGCAACUGGCACAACAACAUCCACUCACCUCUCCUCAGGUUCCAAACCUAUCAAGGAAAUCAUCAUUGGCAUUUAUGAACCCUCAGCUGUCCAGUCUGGCUCAGAAUGCACAACCAGCUAUGAUGCAGAACUCUUUGUCACAGCAGCAAUGGUUGAAGCAAAUGCCAGCAAUUUCUGGUCCUGCCUUACCAAUCCGUCUUCAACAGCACCAGAGGCAGUCACCGGCUCUUUUGCAGCAGCAAUUGGCUUCAUCUCCUCAGUUGCACCAGAAUUCAAUGCCUUUAAACCCACAACAAUUAUCCCAACUGGUACAGCAUCAGUCAUCAAUGGGUCACCAACAACUGCAUCAUCAGCAGCAGCAGCCACAGCAGCAGCAACAGCAGUUGCAACAACAACAACAUCUAUUACAACAGCAGCAACCACAGCAACAAUUGCAACAACAAUUAACCUUACAUCAGCAGCAGCAACAGCAAUCUCCAAGGAUGCAAGGGCCCACAGGCCAGAAAUCUCUUAGCUUGACGGGAUCACAACCAGAUGCAACAGCAUCUGGUACGACUACACCUGGGGGGAGUUCAAGCCAGGGAACAGAAGCAACUAAUCAACUGCUUGGGAAGAGAAAGAUACAGGACUUGGUUUCACAGGUAGAUUCACGGGGAAAGCUAGAUCCUGAAGUCGAAGAUCUUCUUUUGGAGAUUGCUGAUGAUUUUAUUGAGUCGGUGACUACAUUUACAUGCAGUUUGGCCAAGCACCGAAAAUCUUCAACUUUAGAAUCCAAGGAUUUAUUGCUACACUUAGAGAAGAAUUGGCAUCUGACAAUUCCUGGAUUUUCAACUGAAGAAAGAAACUUCCAAAGAAAACCUUUAUGGAGUGAUCUUCACAAGAAGCGUUUGAUAUGAUUCGUGCAUAUAGAGAGUCCUCUGACUCAGAAACAAAUAAUAAUAAUAAUCCUAAAGAGAUGAUGAGAGAUGAUGAGACAAGGGCUAGGCAACCCAGUUGUUAUUAACCACCUGAUAUGACCUUCACCAAGUUCAGAGCAGUUGGUUUCCCAGUCAACCAGUUAUCAAAUGCUGCUGCAGAUCACACGGUUUUAAUGGAUAUGUUUCUCAUUUCUGACAGUGUCUCCAUGCUGAUUGGGUAUAACAUGGACAUGGACCUUGUUGAGUUGGAUUGGCAGAAUCUUUAGCUGUAGUGGCAGAUGUGUAAUUUCUUGGCUAGCAGUAGAGGCCUGAAAAUGGAUUUACAAGAUUGCAGCGUUGAUCAUCUGAUUUACAGUUAUUGUUGAUGUAUGAUUAUUUGAUCUUGUGAUUAUGACCACAAGAAUAUACUUUGAUGCAGUUAUAUGAGCACCAGAAUAUGCUAUAGUGCAGUUAUCAAAAAGAAAGAAAGGGAUAUCCUUGGGAGAGAGUUAAUGAGCUGAUAAAUUUAGAAAUAGCUCCCAGACCCCAGUUCAAGCUCUUGCAGCUUAAAGUGUAAAAUGGAACUUGGGUUGGGUCGCAUGUCGUAUAGCUGUGUUGUUUAAUAUUUUAUUAAUUAUUACAGAAACUUGUUUUUUCUUA